rnacentral:rRNA from 1 species
AGUAGGGAAUCUUCGGCAAUGGACGAAAGUCUGACCGAGCAACGCCGCGUGAGUGAAGAAGGUCUUCGGAUCGUAAAACUCUGUUGUUAGAGAAGAACAAGGACGUUAGUAACUGAACGUCCCCUGACGGUAUCUAACCAGAAAGCCACGGCUAACUACGUGCCAGCAGCCGCGGUAAUACGUAGGUGGCAAGCGUUGUCCGGAUUUAUUGGGCGUAAAGCGAGCGCAGGCGGUUUCUUAAGUCUGAUGUGAAAGCCCCCGGCUCAACCGGGGAGGGUCAUUGGAAACUGGGAGACUUGAGUGCAGAAGAGGAGAGUGGAAUUCCAUGUGUAGCGGUGGAAUGCGUAGAU